rnacentral:lncRNA from 1 species
GCUAUUAUAUAUUUUUACUCUGUUUUUUUAUAGCAAAAUACAAAACAAGUGUAACUCAAAUGAUCGAUAUCGAUCUACAUCGAUAUAUAUAUUGUUAUCGACCUGUAACUGGAGUUGCACUUGUUUUAUAUUUUGCUAAAAUACUCAGUGGUUAUGUUUUUAGUCUCAAUGUGUUUAGCUAGCUAGAAUUUCUAUAUUAUAAAAUUCCUGAUGGUCCCUAAUGCAAGCAUUCCUAUUGGAAUUUUAUCCCAAACAGCAAUAGUUCGCGCUUCAACUGGACGCCCUGGUGACUAGUUUACGUUUCAGAGCGCAAAGCUUCAUGGGAUAGCAUCGUUUUAUUUGUGAUAAAAAAUAUUUGGUAUGGUCACUGCGGUGCUUGGAAUAUUUCGUUGAUAUUUUUAAUCCAAGCGGUGGGAAAGGAAUCGGAAAGUUCUUAACAUGUUAUUCAGAUGUCACAGGUAAGAAUACUUUUGUAUUUGACUUAUUAUUUAAGCCCUUUAAUUGCGAAAUAAUGUGGUGAAUAUGAUUGUUAACUUGAGCCAUGUGGGCCAUAUGUAAAAUUCUGUUGAAUGUUUGAAUUUGCCGCGUUCAAUUUGCAUAUAAAACAUACAAAAUGUUGGUUUCUGGCAGCAAAGAAAGAAUGAAAUAUAAAUUCGAACCUAUUAUUGUGAAUUCUAUACUAAAUUUCACACUAUUAUUAACAAUUUAGCAAUAUUUUCUUUGGCAUAACUUGGCACUUUGCUUAAGAGUAGGAGUUAAGACUAUUGUCAAGCUGGGUAAAUAAUUAUAAGAAAUAAUAUUUAUUAAACAUCCGAAUGCUUUUAAAGAUAUGUUUGCAUUUUAGUACUUCAAUAAGGAUUGGAAUCAGAGAGAACGACAGCAUUUAAUAUGCUAUUUUUAGUGUGUCAAUAUAAAUCUAUCCUUAUUGUCAAGGGGAGAAUCUUUUAAUAGUGGGUUUAUAAAGAGCUUCAUUUGUAUAAAGUGAUGUUUGCAAUGAUAGUGCUGAGACAGUGCCUCAAAUGUUGUCUUUGUAUAUUUCAAGAUUAAUAUUUGGAAUACAAGUCGUUUCGCCCCCAAGUCGAUUCGCCCCAAGUCGUUUCGCCCCCAAGUCGUUUCGCCCCCAAAAUAACAGAAGGUAAACUAAGUAACAUUAUUUAUUUUCCUUAUCGUUUUACAGCAUGGACAUUCUUACUUUGCAACAGUUGUGAACGCAAAAUGCAAAGAUCUUUUAAACUUUACAGGGAAGAUUUUGAUGUGCUCAGUACUCAUAGCCUCGCAAGUCAGCUGAAGUGAAAUGCUUCCCUAUUAAACGCUUCGCAUACAUAUUCCAUACAUAUUUGAAGGAUGAGUAAUACCGGGAUUGAGUCAUUUUUCUAUUUAUAAUUUAAUAUUCUUUCAUUUUGAAACUGUGAAAGCUGUGAAUUGUUUCGUUCGGCUAUUGUCAAAAAUUAAUCACCGUUUCGGGAAUUGUUCCGUUCAUCCGUUGUAAAAACUAAUCACUGCGUUGAUCACCGACUUUGUGAAACCUUUUCACGCUUUUGUUGUCGUUUGAAAUGUCACGUUUUGUCAAAUAUGGGCUAGUUCGUUAGUUUGUAAUUCAUAUAUUUUGCUAAAAAAGCUUUAUCGAAUUCAAUAAGUUUUGGGGUAUUCUUACAAAUACAAAUUGACAUGUUAUGACUUGGGGGCGAAACGACUUGAGGCGAAUCGACUUGGGGGCGAAACGACUGGGGGCGAAUCGACUUGGGGGCGAAACGACCGGAUACCAAUAUUUGAGCUGGGCAGUGCUUGUACUGUAUGUAGCCCUGGCUCCACAUAUUGUUCUCAAACAUCAGCAAAUAUAAUCAGAUUCACUAACAAUAGUCCAUCGUUUAUUUAAUAUGUGCUUUAUCACUUUAUAUAUUAAGCAUAAAUAUCUGUGGCACAGCAUUGAUAGUUUUGGAUGGCCUAUAUUUUGCCGGAUGCCAGUAACGGACAGCAUAUCCCUACUCUCUGCCCACGGCCAUGUCUCUGUUUAUCAUAGGCCUACUAUACAUAUUACAACUUUAAGGAUAUUAUUUGCACUUCACUUGGUUGGACUAGAAUACUCGGUUUGGUCGAUAAUACAAUAUAUAUGCAGAGGUGUAACUUAACACUUGCCCGCUUGCCUGGGGCAAGUGAAUAUCAUGACGGGCAAGUACACGUUUUAUCUUGCUUGCCCGAUUGGGCAAGUUGCCUUGCCACAAAAAGCUGGGCAUCUUGAUUGCAGUGGGAGAACGGGUUGACAUAUUGCCCGGGCCUUAAUUCAUACCCCUACCUAGGUAUCCCAGUGGCCAUUGUCUGAUGACAAGUGAAUUUUAUUCAGGGCAACUAAUUUUCAUGUACAACUUGCCCUGAGGGUAAGUGGUCAAAAAAGUAAAGUUACACCACUGAUAUGUAUAGACACUAUUCAAUUAAUUAAGACCUAGGACCAGGAAUCGCAGGGCCAUAGGUUUGAUUACUGCCAGAGGACUUUGUAGUUUUGGAUUAAUUAAUCACCAAACCUAGUAUACAUAUUACACCCUGCAUUACCUUGUACCAAUAUGAAUAGUCAUGUUACGUAAUUCAUGAUGAUUAUGACAAACUAUGGAGAUUAUCUUAUUUCUGGUUUCUGACUGGCUAACAGCCAACUGUAAAAUUGUAAUAUCAACUCAUACCAAAGACACAUUUAUUUAAUAAUUGAACACACUAGCACUGCUUAACACUACCUUGUACUUAAGUAUUUUGAUAUUAGAGUUUGAUGUAUGUGUCACAUGAGACAAUUUUACUUAUUGACUGCUUGUCCAUUCACCUAUUUAUACCUAAGGAGGUAUACAUGCAACCCAACCUUAAUGGUUUGUCUUAAAUUAAAAAUGGAGUGACAUUUUUGUUUUGCAAAAAGUAAUUAAAGGGAGCAAAAGAAAGGCAAUUUUCCCUAACACUCCCUACUUUAAGUACUUUGAUAUUUAACUCUGACAUGUAUGUCUCAUGUGAGACAAUUUUACUUAUCGACUCUGGACUGUUUGCCCAAGUAUCACUUAUUAAUACCUUAGGAGUAAUUAUACAAGAAAUGUUGGAUAGUUAUAUCCAAUCUAUGGGUUAUAUCCAAUCAGGUAGGACAGAUAAAUAUCCAUCAAAUUCAUCUAUGGUAUUCAACUAUAUAAGGUUCAUGCCUCACUUACUUUACACAACGACAACAAGAAUCUAGUUAUAGUUGUGAUCACUAUAACAUAUAUCGACAGCAAUAUAUAUUCAAUUUGACACCAACCAAUCAAAUGACAGAAAAACAUCUUCUGUCUCAUAGACCAACCAGAUUUACACCCGAAAUACAGUUGUACGGCAUGGACUUUUGUUAAUUAAGAUUUGUAUCAGGUAUAUUUAUUUAUUUAUUUAUAGGCCUGAUCACAGAUUAGAUCUUUGAGUGGCCCCACCUGCUGUAGAUGCACUGUAAUGUGAAACUGUGUUAAGGUGGCUCCCUACAGUUGCGUGCGGGAUGUUCGCGGGACCAGUACGUGAAUUAUCCCACGCAACCGCAUGAUCAAAACAAAACAAUUUUUUUUCUUAAAAAAAACUAUUUCUGAAAGGUUUCUAAUGGGAAAAAGCGUUGAAUAAUACUUCGUUUUGAGUGUCAAAUUACUUGCGAGUCUAUACAGCAAUUCUACAUGUGAUACGAAUACCACUAGACCAAAAAUAGCUACGAAACAAUGUUUUUUAAUGUUUUUAAAAUAUACAUUGUCAACUGUAAAACAUUUGCAAAAUUGCA